GGUCCGCUGGCUCAAUGGCAGAGCGUCUGACUACGACUGAACUUCCGAUAUCAUCGUUAUCUCGGUUGAUCAAGUAAUCAGGAGGUUCCAGGUUCGACCCCUGGGUGGAUCG
rfam:Myceliophthora thermophila ATCC 42464 chromosome 6, complete sequence.